AUAAGAAGUAUGGGGAGGCAAAGAUAAGGGAUUAGAAGGAUUUGGGUGAUGAAGUUGUAGUUAAAUCACUACACUGAGCUGAGUCUAGGUAGCAUGCAAACAUGCAUUUAUCAAGGAUUUAAUGUCUUUUGCAGAUUUAAUUUACAAUUUAAUAUGAUUUUAAGGUUUGUGAGAUGUAAAACUGUUUUACAAUUUAUUGUAUGCCCAUCAGUCCAUAAAACAUUAAACACUGG